AACGAACGCUGGCGGCAUGCCUAACACAUGCAAGUCGAACGAAGUCUUCGGACUUAGUGGCACACGGGUGCGUAACGCGUGGGAAUCUGCCCUUGGGUACGGAAUAACUCAGAGAAAUUUGUGCUAAUACCGUAUAAUGUCUUCGGACCAAAGAUUUAUCGCCCAAGGAUGAGCCCGCGUAAGAUUAGCUAGUUGGUGGGGUAAAAGCCUACCAAGGCGACGAUCUUUAGCUGGUCUGAGAGGAUGAUCAGCCACACUGGGACUGAGACACGGCCCAGACUCCUACGGGAGGCAGCAGUGGGGAAUAUUGGACAAUGGGCGAAAGCCUGAUCCAGCAAUGCCGCGUGAGUGAUGAAGGCCUUAGGGUUGUAAAGCUCUUUUACCCGGGAUGAUAAUGACAGUACCGGGAGAAUAAGCUCCGGCUAACUCCGUGCCAGCCGCCGCCGUAACAC
rnacentral:rRNA from 1 species